rnacentral:rRNA from 1 species
UGGCGGCGUGCUUAACACAUGCAAGUCGAACGAUGAAGCCCAGCUUGCUGGGUGGAUUAGUGGCGAACGGGUGAGUAAUACGUGAGUAACCUGCCUUUAACUCUGGGAUAAGCCUUGGAAACGGGGUCUAAUACCGGAUACGACCAACCCUCGCAUGGGGUGUUGGUGGAAAGGGAUUUUGUACUGGUUUUAGAUGGGCUCACGGCCUAUCAGCUUGUUGGUGAGGUAACGGCUCACCAAGGCGACGACGGGUAGCCGGCCUGAGAGGGUGACCGGCCACACUGGGACUGAGACACGGCCCAGACUCCUACGGGAGGCAGCAGUGGGGAAUAUUGCACAAUGGGCGCAAGCCUGAUGCAGCGACGCCGCGUGAGGGAUGACGGCCUUCGGGUUGUAAACCUCUUUCAGCAGGGGAGAAGCGAAAGUGACGGUACCUGCAGAAGAAGCGCCGGCUAACUACGUGCCAGCAGCCGCGGCAAUACGUAGGGCGCGAGCGUUGUCCGGAAUUAUUGGGCGUAAAGAGCUUGUAGGCGGUUUGUCGCGUCUGCUGUGAAAGCCCGGGGCUUAACCCCGGGU